rnacentral:lncRNA from 1 species
AAAGACUGGAGUUUGCUCACUCUCUCUCCUCCUUGUGAGGACAUAGCAAGAAGGUGGCCGCCUGAGAUCCAGGAAGAGAGCCCUCACCAGGAACCAAAUUAGCCACCGCCUUAUCUUGAUGUCCCAGCCUCCGGAAUAUACAGGCAGAAAGCUUAUGAUGAAAAGCAUGAACCAACACACAAAGCUGGUGGAGUAUGGAACUGGGGAGUUGAAGCCCAGAAUAAACAGAAGGACCAUGGAUUCUUUAAGCCAUGAAGAAAGAGCUGCAUACAUUUUGUUUGUGGUUCCUGCUGCAGUAGGCAGACAGGCUGAGAUUCUGAAAGUGACUGAGCUACAUUGCUAUUAGAUGCUCAGUACUUCUUUGCUGAAUGAUGGGAUGCAUGCAAGCCUAUUCACUAGCAGGCAAGGCCAUCAGUGAGAAAUGAAACAUCACAAUUGGAACAUCACAUUUGACAGGAAUAAAGCAUUAUGCUGAUGGAGGAGAUGGAGCUGUUCAAGCAGGACUUAGAAGAAGCUCUUAUUGCAGCCAUUCUGUGCAGAUUCCUUAUCUUGUGUUAUGUGAAUACCAGUGUGCCAGUCAAGGCUCAGUCAGAGAAGCAGAAUCUCCAUGGUGUGGAUGUCCUGCAGAGUCCUGUGCUCCUUGAUGUUUAAACACACACCUGGCUCAAUAGUCAGAGAAGCUGAAGGAGGAGCCAGGGGAAGGUGAAGCAGGUGUGGGACCAGCUGCAGACUCAUUUCCACAGGUGAGUCAGCAGAUGAGCAAUUGUGGCUGACCUCCAAGAUGACUGCCACUGUCUUUCUGCCUCCAGGUCUCCCCAUGGCCCACCCUGACUGGAAACAUAGAGGAAAGGGUGUUCUAGAAAGUGUGGUUUAGCAUAGCCAAGUUAACAAAGACACCAAACACAAGAGCAUUGAUAAUGGAGUUUAAAAGGGUGAUCCUGGUUGUUCUAAGGUUUGGUUACUCGUUUUGGAGCUGGAUACCUGAUGCAUCGAAAAGAUGUUGAGUUUCCUGCAAUAGUCCCAUGAAUACAUUAUUUGUUA